UGACCUCGGAUCAGGUCG
rnacentral:rRNA from 1 species